AUGGCGGCCGCCCGAGGCCGAGGCGUCCUUCUCGCCGUCCUCCUCUUGACGACGGUGGCCUUCGCGUUCGUCGGCGCGGACAUAUACAAGCCAACGGACUCCAUUCUGGUUAACUGCGGGUCGGACAAGGACGGGCAGGACGAGGACGGCAGGAAGUGGACCACCGACAAGGACAGCAAGUGGCUCCCCGACGGCGGCAAGUCCUCCAUCAUGGGCACCGCCGACGUGUCGGACCCGUCCCUCCCCUCCCCCGUGCCCUACAUGACGGCGCGGGUCUUCCCUAAGGAGACCGCCUACACCUUCCCCGUGUCCGACGCCGACCGCCACUGGGUGCGCCUCCACUUCUACCCGGCGGCUUACCACGACAUCCCCGCCGACCACUUCUUCUUCUCCAUCAGCACCUCCACCGGCAUCACGCUGCUGCGCAACUUCAGCGUCUACAUCACCGCCAAGGCCCUCACCCAGGCCUACAUCGUCCGGGAGUUCUCCCUCCCUCCCUCCACCGCCGGCUCGCUCUCCCUCAAAUUCACGCCCACUGCCAUGAACAAUGCCUCCUACGCCUUCGUCAAUGGCAUCGAGAUCAUCUCCAUGCCCAACUUCUUCGGCGACCCGGCCACGCUGGUCGGCCUCGACGACCAGUCCCUCGACGCCAGCGCCGGCAACCUGCAGACCAUGUACCGGCUUAGCGUCGGCGGCUCCUACAUCCCGCCCACCAACGACUCCGGGCUGACCCGCGAGUGGUUCUCCGACACGCCCUACGUCUACGGCGCCGGCACGGGCGUCACCUUCGAGGCCAACGACACGAUCCCGAUCAAGUACCCGGCCCCCGCCGACGAGUACGCCGCGCCCGUCAGCAUCUAUGACACGUUCCGCCACAUGGGCCGCGACGCCAACCUGAACAAGAACAACAACCUCACCUGGGUGUUCGAGGUGGACGGCAACUUCACCUACCUCCUCCGCCUCCACUUCUGCUCGCUCAUGGAAGACAAGAUCAACCAGGUCGUCUUCGCCAUCCUCGUCAACAACAAGACGGCCACCACCACCGGCAGCGCCGACAUCAUCGCCUGGGCCAAGGAGAAGAACCCUGCUAAUCCCGGCGCGCCCGGCAAAGGCGUGCCGGUCUUCAAGGACUACGCCGUGUUCAUGCCCGCCGCUCCGGCGGGCAACGACACCAUCCUCUGGCUCACGCUGCGCCCAGACACCGCCAGUAACCCACAGUUCGUCAACGCUUUCCUCAACGGCCUCGAGAUCUUUAAGGUGAGCGACGCCUCCGGCAACCUGGCCGGCCCAAACCCCGACAUUUCUAAGAUGCUGGCGGAGGCCGAGCUGGGGGCCGUGGACGGGCAGUUCAGGGAGAAGCCGAGCAACGUCGGGGCGCUCAUCGGCGGGGCGGUGGGCGGCGCGGCGGCAUUCGGGCUGGUCGCGGCCGUGUGCUUCGUGGCGUACCAGAGCAAGAGGGGGAGGGAGCUGAGCAGCAGCCCAUCGCACUCCUCCUCCAGGUGGCUGCCGGUGUACGGCAGCUCGCAGACGAGCGUGAGCAAGUCGUCGGGCGGGAGGAGCGCGAUGACGCUGAACCCCAACAUCACGGCCAUGUGCCGGCACUUCUCGUUCCAGGAGAUAAAGUCGGCGACCAAGGGGUUCGACGAGUCGCUGGUGAUCGGCGUGGGCGGGUUCGGCAAGGUGUACCGGGGGGUGGUGGACGGGGACACCAAGGUGGCCAUCAAGCGGAGCAACCCGUCGUCGGAGCAGGGGGUGCUGGAGUUCCAGACGGAGAUCGAGAUGCUGUCCAAGCUGCGGCACAAGCACCUGGUGUCCCUCAUCGGGUGCUGCGAGGACAACGGCGAGAUGAUCCUGGUGUACGACUACAUGGCGCACGGCACGCUGCGGGAGCACCUGUACAAGAGCGGCAAGCCGCCGCUGCCGUGGAGGCAGCGGCUGGAGAUCGUGAUCGGCGCCGCCCGGGGGCUCCACUACCUCCACACGGGCGCCAAGUACACCAUCAUCCACCGCGACGUCAAGACCACCAACAUCCUCGUCGACGAGAAGUGGGUGGCCAAGGUGUCCGACUUCGGGCUGUCCAAGACGGGGCCGACGGUGCAGAACCAGACGCACGUGAGCACCAUGGUGAAGGGCAGCUUCGGGUACCUGGACCCGGAGUACUUCCGGCGGCAGAAGCUGACGGAGAAGUCGGACGUCUACUCGUUCGGCGUGGUGCUGUUCGAGGUGCUGUGCGGGCGGCCGGCGCUGAACCCUAGCCUGCCGCGGGAGCAGGUGAGCCUGGCGGACCACGCGCUGAGCUGCCAGCGGAAGGGCACCCUGGAGGAGAUCAUCGACCCGGUGCUGGAGGGGAAGAUCGCGCCCGACUGCCUCAAGAAGUUCGCCGAGACGGCGGAGAAGUGCCUGGCGGACCAGGGCGUGGACCGGCCGUCCAUGGGCGACGUGCUGUGGAACCUCGAGUUCGCGCUGCAGCAGCAGGACACCUUCGAGAACGGCGGGAAGCCGCCCGAGGUGGACGACUACAGCAGCAGCUUCACCAUCACCCCGCCGUCCAUGGAGGAGAGCCUGGCGGCCAACGCGGCGGCGCUGUCGCUCAUCAGCGAGGACAUGGACGAGGAGGACAUCGCCAACAGCGUCAUCUUCUCCCAGAUCGCAAAACCCACCGGACGAUGA
rnacentral:rRNA from 1 species